CGGUCUUGUUCACUGUUUUUGUUCUUUAAAAUAUCUAUUUCUUCCCAUUCAAGAAGUCUCCUUUCUCACUCACUCGCAGCUCCAACGACCAACUACAAGCUACCCCCACCUUCCGUAUUUCAGAAUCGAAAACAAAUUAAGCAAAAAGGAGGGUCAUACUCGUAUCUGCAAAAGAGGCCAAAAAAAAAAAGUUUCAGCUUCUGCGAAACAAAAAGGAGAUAUUAUGAGCAGCUCGUUGCCACGCUUUCCUGUGCCUCAUAAGACGCUCUCUUUGGAAAUUAAGGGGAAAAAGACAGAUAUUGUCAUCUGCAGUUAUGAUGAUCAUUUCUUUGUAAGUUCUUGAUCCCAG